GGCGAACGGGUGAGUAACACGUGGGUAAUCUGCCCUCGGCACUGGGAUAGCCCGGGGAAACCCGGAUUAAUACCGGAUGGCCUUUCGAGUCCUCGGACUCGUCAGAAAAGGUGGCUUCGGCUUCCGGCUGAGGAUGAGCCCGCGGCGGAUUAGCUUGUUGGUGGGGUAACGGCCCACCAAGGCGACGAUCCGUAGCUGGUCUGAGAGGACGAUCAGCCACACUGGGACUGAGACACGGCCCAGACUCCUACGGGAGGCAGCAGUGGGGAAUCUUGCGCAAUGGGCGAAAGCCUGACGCAGCGACGCCGCGUGCGGGAAGAAGGCCUUCGGGUUGUAAACCGCUUUCAGGAGGGACGAAGCCACUCGGGUUAAUACCCCAGAGGGUGACGGUACCUCCAGAAGAAGCCCCGGCUAACUACGUGCCAGCCGCUACGG
rnacentral:rRNA from 1 species